CCCAGACUCCUACGGGAGGCAGCAGUGGGGAAUAUUGCACAAUGGGGGAAACCCUGAUGCAGCGACGCCGCGUGAGUGAAGAAGUAUUUCGGUAUGUAAAGCUCUAUCAGCAGGGAAGAAAAUGACGGUACCUGAUUAAGAAGCCCCGGCUAACUACGUGCCAGCAGCCGCGGUAAUACGUAGGGGGCAAGCGUUAUCCGGAUUUACUGGGUGUAAAGGGAGCGUAGACGGUGAUGCAAGUCAGAAGUGAAAGCCCGGGGCUCAACUCCGGGACUGCUUUUGAAACUGUGUGACUGGAGUGCAGGAGAGGUAAGCGGAAUUCCUGGUGUAGCGGUGAAAUGCGUAGAUAUCAGGAGGAACACCAGUGGCGAAGGCGGCUUACUGGACUGUAACUGACGUUGAGGCUCGAAAGCGUGGGGAGCAAACAGGAUUAGAUACCCCCGUAU
rnacentral:rRNA from 1 species